rnacentral:rRNA from 1 species
AUUGAACGCUGGCGGCAGGCCUAACACAUGCAAGUCGAACGGUAACAGGAAGCAGCUUGCUGCUUCGCUGACGAGUGGCGGACGGGUGAGUAAUGUCUGGGAAGCUGCCUGAUGGAGGGGGAUAACUACUGGAAACGGUAGCUAAUACCGCAUAAUGUCGCAAGACCAAAGAGGGGGACCUUCGGGCCUCUUGCCAUCGGAUGUGCCCAGAUGGGAUUAGCUUGUUGGUGGGGUAACGGCUCACCAAGGCGACGAUCCCUAGCUGGUCUGAGAGGAUGACCAGCCACACUGGGACUGAGACACGGUCCAGACUCCUACGGGAGGCAGCAGUGGGGAAUAUUGCACAAUGGGCGCAAGCCUGAUGCAGCCAUGCCGCGUGUAUGAAGAAGGCCUUCGGGUUGUAAAGUACUUUCAGCGGGGAGGAAGGGAGUAAAGUUAAGACCUUUGCUCAUUGACGUUACCCGCAGAAGAAGCACCGGCUAACUCCGU